UACGUAGGGUGCAAGCGUUGUCCGGAAUUAUUGGGCGUAAAGAGCUCGUAGGCGGUCUGUCACGUCGGCUGUGAAAACCCGGGGCUCAACCCCGGGCCUGCAGUCGAUACGGGCAGACUAGAGUGCGGUAGGGGAGACUGGAAUUCCUGGUGUAGCGGUGAAAUGCGCAGAUAUCAGGAGGAACACCGGUGGCGAAGGCGGAUCUCUGGGCCAUUACUGACGCUGAGGAGCGAAAGCGUGGGGAGCGAACAGG
rnacentral:rRNA from 1 species